UUUGUGUGCUUCGCUGUGACAUCUUUGGAAUAUUCCUGCGUGUUGCUCGCUUUUUAUGGACUUGUUGCCUCGAAGAUCGCCAUGAUCGCCUCCGACUCAGCGACAUCAAGGAUUCAAAAUGAGCUGGGAGAGGCCCCAGCUGGAACGGUUCACAUAGGUUGAAGGAGUGCACAUUGAGAAGGUUAUCCUGGCACAGUUUACCAUGGCCUGCCAUGGUGGACCAGGAAAGUUUGCAAGGGCCUUGCUUCACCAUGUGUUCACAGAGGAGGAGCUCAUGGGCCAUUUGGGCUUUGGAAAUAACACCAAGGGGCAAAAAAGGCUCUUGACCCCACCAGGGUCAGUGCUGUUAUAGGCAAGUACCAUAUAUCCUUUCUGGUUGCAUUUUUACAUUCACAUUUUUUUCUAAAAUUAUGAACUUGCCAUUGGCAUAACAAACGACUUUCAAGUAGCCCGUGUGUGCAGUUGUAUGCGACAAUAGCCUACUAUUUGGAAUGACUGUUCGUACGAUCUUAAGUGCGUAAUGCCGCCAUACUCAAAUGCUUCUAAAAUUUAAAAGCUGCCUUCACUGCUGAAAGUUUUUAGUGGCUCCACCACAUAAAAUGAGCUGCAUUUGCG